GCCGGAGUAGCUCAGCUGGCAGAGCACCUCUCUUGUAAAGAGGAUGCCGUGGGUUCGAGUCCCACCUCCGGCU
rnacentral:tRNA from 1 species